rnacentral:rRNA from 1 species
GUAGGUGGCAAGCGUUGUCCGGAAUUAUUGGGCGUAAAGCGCGCGCAGGCGGGUCCUUUAAGUCUGAUGUGAAAGCCCACGGGCUCAACCGUGGAGGGUCAUUGGAAACUGGGGGACUUGAGUACAGAAGAGGAAAGCGGAAUUCCAAGUGUAGCGGUGAAAUGCGUAGAGAUUUGGAGGAACACCAGUGGCGAAGGCGGCUUUCUGGUCUGUAACUGACGCUGAGGCGCGAAAGCGUGGGGAGCAAACAGAAUUAGAUACCCUGGUAGUCCACGCCGUAAACGAUGAGUGCUAAGUGUUAGGGGGUUUCCGCCCCUUAGUGCUGCAGCUAACGCAUUAAGCACUCCGCCUGGGGAGUACGGCCGCAAAGGCUG